rnacentral:rRNA from 1 species
UGGGGAAUUUUGGACAAUGGGCGAAAGCCUGAUCCAGCAAUGCCGCGUGUGUGAAGAAGGCCUUCGGGUUGUAAAGCACUUUUGUCCGGAAAGAAAUCCUUGGCUCUAAUACAGUCGGGGGAUGACGGUACCGGAAGAAUAAGCACCGGCUAACUACGUGCCAGCAGCCGCGGUAAUACGUAGGGUGCAAGCGUUAAUCGGAAUUACUGGGCGUAAAGCGUGCGCAGGCGGUUUGCUAAGACCGAUGUGAAAUCCCCGGGCUCAACCUGGGAACUGCAUUGGUGACUGGCAGGCUAGAGUAUGGCAGAGGGGGGUAGAAUUCCACGUGUAGCAGUGAAAUGCGUAGAGAUGUGGAGGAAUACCGAUGGCGAAGGCAGCCCCCUGGGCCAAUACUGACGCUCAUGCACGAAAGCGUGGGGAGCAAACAGGAUUAGAUACCCUGGUAGUCCACGCCCUAAACGAUGUCAACCAGUUGUUGGGGAUUCAUUCCUUAGUAACGUAGCUAACGCGUGAAGUUGACCGCCUGGGGAGUACGGUCGCAAGAUUAAAACUCAAAGGAAUUGACGGGGUCAUAGCUGUUUCCU